rnacentral:rRNA from 1 species
UACGAAGGGGGCUAGCGUUGCUCGGAAUCACUGGGCGUAAAGGGUGCGUAGGCGGGUCUUAAGUCAGGGGUGAAAUCCUGGAGCUCAACUCCAGAACUGCCUUUGAUACUGAAGAUCUUGAGUUCGGGAGAGGUGAGUGGAACUGCGAAGUGUAGAGGUGAAAUUCGUAGAUAUUCGCAAGAACACCAGUGGCGAAGGCGGCUAUCUGGACGGUUUCUGACACUAAGACUCGAAGGCGUGGGGAGGCAAACAGG